rnacentral:miRNA from 1 species
GCGGACAAAGGACGAUGGCAC